CACGGGGGGAGCAAGCGUUGUUCGGAAUCACUGGGCGUAAAGGGCGUGUAGGCGGUCUGGUAAGUGGGAUGUGAAAGCCCCCGGCUCACCCGGGGAUCUGCAUUCCAUACUGCCAGACUUGAGUAUGGGAGAGGACAGGGGAAUUCCUGGUGUAGCGGUGAAAUGCGUAGAUAUCAGGAGGAACACCGGUGGCGAAGGCGCCUGUCUGGCCCAAUACUGACGCUGAGGCGCGAAAGCGUGGGGAGCAAACAGG
rnacentral:rRNA from 1 species